UCUAAAAUAUUAAAAGAUGUUAUCGCUUGUUUAUUGGUUAGAUAUAUAUCUCAUGAUGAGUGCAGUUGUAUUGGGUGGAGAGCAGAGAGCACAUAAAGCAAUGUACUGCAACUUAAUGAGUGUCAAAAAGUCUAAUCAUUUUAAUCAUUUCAAAUCACAGUACAUCGCUCCUGCACUGUUGCUCCUGUUACACCACCAAUGUUUGAGUGCCCUCUGCAGGCUGCAAAGAGAAUCACACAACUGUUCACCACUGUUUCAGCAGCCCAUUCACAUACAUGAUAUUCUAUCUCACCCAUUUUUCUACACUUAACAUUCAUUUUUAUAUCAUACAUUUAAAUUAAGGGAUGCACAAUACACUUUUUUUUUUUUUUUUUAAAGAUUUAGACAAUCUAACUUUAAGGGAUAACUAUAGGUUAUAUAUUGCAAAGAACCCUUAAGUGCACUAGUCUAUAUAUUCCUACUUUUAAGUGCCCAUGUCGGAGUGAAAACAAAACAGUGCAGCCAUCUUUAUUAGUGUUACUUUACUUCAUGCAGCAAACACCGUUUCAGACAACACACAUAACUUCUCUUACGUAAUACCCAACUAAUCUUUCAGUUCCUUUGAUUAUAACGUUCAGCUAGGAACUACUGUUUCCGUCAACAAUUUUUAGCGCGUAUACAUACAAAGAAAUCGGAAGCACGCCACAAAGAAGAAAGAAAUUCAUACAGGGUUGGAACAACAUGAGGAGCAGAGCCAUUGUUGAAUUUCCCAACACAUGAGGAUAAGAAGCAGAUGGAGCUUUCAUUCAGGAUUCACGUUUUUAAAAUAAUUGGGACACCUGUUUACAUUCAUGUUCACUCCCAGUUUGCCACGUCAGUAGGUCUGUAGUGUCUCAUCAGACACACCACGGCUAAUCUAAUAAAAAAUGACAUUUCACCUAGCAGAGUUUUAUUGCACUCAUUAAACAUUAAUAUGAUCUACUCCACUGAUAUUUUCACAGCAUACAGUGCUGGCAUUAAAUAUAGAGAUGGGUAUUUAAUUGCUAAUUGCCACGUAGCAUAAAUGUGUUUUAUGGAAAUGAUGUGCUCCUCGUCCAGCUAUUUUAAAAGUUCAGCAACUCAGGAUUUCACAACGUUUGUUUCUUUUCCUGGGGUUUAAGAACAGGUCAGUGACAUAUUUCUCUCAUUUUUCACAGAAGAUAACACUUCUCUAUUAUUGAGCAGCUUUAUCAUUUGUUUGUCAUUUUG